rnacentral:rRNA from 1 species
GAUGAACGCUAGCUACAGGCUUAACACAUGCAAGUCGAGGGGCAGCAUGACCUAGCAAUGGGUUGAUGGCGACCGGCGCACGGGUGAGUAACACGUAUCCAACCUGCCGAUUAUUCCGGGAUAGCCUUUCGAAAGAAAGAUUAAUACUGGAUAGCAUAACGAGAAGGCAUCUUCUUGUUAUUAAAGAAUUUCGAUAAUCGAUGGGGAUGCGUUCCAUUAGUUUGUUGGCGGGGUAACGGCCCACCAAGACAUCGAUGGAUAGGGGUUCCGAGAGGAAGGUCCCCCACAUUGGAACUGAGACACGGUCCAAACUCCUACGGGAGGCAGCAGUGAGGAAUAUUGGUCAAUGGACGAGAGUCUGAACCAGCCAAGUAGCGUGAAGGAUGACUGCCCUAUGGGUUGUAAACAUCUUUUAUAGGGGAAUAAAGUGGGCCACGUGUGGCUUUUUGUAUGUACCAUACGAAUAAGGAUCGGCUAACUCCGUG